CCUGCUCAAUGUAAAAAUAAAUAGCCGCAAUCUCUGCGCUAAGGUAGCAUAAUCACUUGUCUUUUAAUUGAAGAAUAGAAUGAAGGAAAAACGAAUUAUUAACUUUCUAUAAAUUAUACAAUAAAAUUAUAUUAAUUGUAAAAAUUCAAUUAAUAAAAUAAAAGACGACAAGACCCUAAUGAACUUAACUAAUAAGUUAAGCUGGGGUGGCUAAAUAAAUCAUAACUUAUUAUAAAAAAACAAAAAAUCUUUCUAAAUAAAUAUAACAAGUUACCAUAGGGAUAACAGCACAAUAUAUUACCAAAGUUCAAAUAAAAUAUUAAAAUUGUGACCUCGAUGUUGAAUUAUUUAAACUCAUUUUAAGCAAAAAUAAAUAAAGUAGGUCUGUUCGACCUUUAAAAAAAUACAU
rnacentral:rRNA from 1 species